UGACCGGUGAAUGAAGAAGAACUGGUAGAGUAUUGUUCGAGGAUAUAUUUUAACAUCAUCGAAGGCUCUGAGGAUUGAGGAUCGAACUGUUCAGGCAAAUUAUAGGAGAGACAGGGUUCAGAUGCAGACGACAGAAAUCUAUAUCUUCUGCAUGGGAUGUCAGAUACUAUCAGAGUGCAUGCCACAUCAGUCAGAGCAUGAGCAACUGGAAGGUGGGGGACUGAUUGUUUGAUUCUCCUCUUUGGGCCGGAUGACGAUUUCAGAUUUUGUCAUUUUGUACCACCA
rnacentral:sRNA from 2 species